rnacentral:rRNA from 1 species
GGUCAAGUGAAGAAGCGCAUACGGUGGAUGCCUUGGCAGUCAGAGGCGAUGAAAGACGUGGUAGCCUGCGAAAAGCUUCGGGGAGUCGGCAAACAGACUUUGAUCCGGAGAUGUCUGAAUGGGGGAACCCAGCCAUCAUAAGAUGGUUAUCUUGUACUGAAUACAUAGGUGCAAGAAGCGAACCAGGGGAACUGAAACAUCUAAGUACCCUGAGGAAAAGAAAUCAACCGAGAUUCCCUUAGUAGUGGCGAGCGAACGGGGACUAGCCCUUAAGUGGCUUUGAGAUUAGCGGAACGCUCUGGAAAGUGCGGCCAUAGUGGGUGAUAGCCCUGUACGCGAAAAUCUCUUAGUCAUGAAAUCGAGUAGGACGGAGCACGAGAAACUUUGUCUGAAUAUGGGGGGACCAUCCUCCAAGGCUAAAUACUACUGACUGACCGAUAGUGAACUAGUACCGUGAGGGAAAGGCGAAAAGAACCCCGGAGAGGGGAGUGAAAUAGAUCCUGAAACCGUAUGCGUACAAGCAGUGGGAGCCCACUUUGUUGGGUGACUGCGUACCUUUUGUAUAAUGGGUCAGCGACUUAUUUUCAGUGGCGAGCUUAACCGAAUAGGGGAGGCGUAGCGAAAGCGAGUCUUAAUAGGGCGUCUAGUCGCUGGGAAUAGACCCGAAACCGGGCGAUCUAUCCAUGGGCAGGUUGAAGGUUGGGUAACACUAACUGGAGGACCGAACCGACUACCGUUGAAAAGUUAGCGGAUGACCUGUGGAUCGGAGUGAAAGGCUAAUCAAGCUCGGAGAUAGCUGGUUCUCCUCGAAAGCUAUUUAGGUAGCGCCUCAUGUAUCACUGUAGGGGGUAGAGCACUGUUUCGGCUAGGGGGUCAUCCCGACUUACCAAACCGAUGCAAACUCCGAAUACCUACAAGUGCCGAGCAUGGGAGACACACGGCGGGUGCUAACGUCCGUCGUGAAAAGGGAAACAACCCAGACCGUCAGCUAAGGUCCCAAAGUUAUGGUUAAGUGGGAAACGAUGUGGGAAGGCUUAGACAGCUAGGAGGUUGGCUUAGAAGCAGCCACCCUUUAAAGAAAGCGUAAUAGCUCACUAGUCGAGUCGGCCUGCGCGGAAGAUGUAACGGGGCUCAAACCAUACACCGAAGCUACGGGUAUCACGUAAGUGAUGCGGUAGAGGAGCGUUCUGUAAGCCUGUGAAGGUGAGUUGAGAAGCUUGCUGGAGGUAUCAGAAGUGCGAAUGCUGACAUGAGUAACGACAAUGGGUGUGAAAAACACCCACGCCGAAAGACCAAGGUUUCCUGCGCAACGUUAAUCGACGCAGGGUUAGUCGGUCCCUAAGGCGAGGCUGAAAAGCGUAGUCGAUGGAAAACAGGUUAAUAUUCCUGUACUUCUGGUUAUUGCGAUGGAGGGACGGAGAAGGCUAGGCCAGCUUGGCGUUGGUUGUCCAAGUUUAAGGUGGUAGGCUGGAAUCUUAGGUAAAUCCGGGAUUCUAAGGCCGAGAGCUGAUGACGAGUUA